rnacentral:misc_RNA from 1 species
GCAAACUUGGUCAUUUAGAGGAAGUAAAAGUCGUAACAAGGUUUCCGUAGGUGAACCUGCGGAAGGAUCAUUACAGAUUGUUAUUACAAUCUCUCCUUUAUAUUCUCCCCUUUGUGCACCUUAUCACAUGGGCUUAGUAGCAGUUGUUGUAGUGACACAGAUGUGGUGCUACACACUGCAAAAUGCUUGUGUGAUUUCACUUCAAAUACUAUACAUUGUCUGUAUGGCAUUGUUGUGCAUAUUAUAAGCAUAAUGAAAUAUACAACUUUCAGCAAUGGAUCUCUUGGCUCUCGCAUCGAUGAAGAACGCAGC